rnacentral:rRNA from 1 species
GACAGAGGGUGCGAACGUUGUUCGGAAUUACUGGGCGUAAAGCGCGUGUAGGCGGCAACGCAAGUCGGGCGUGAAAUCCCACGGCUCAACCGUGGAAGUGCACUCGAAACUGCGUAGCUAGAGUCCUGGAGAGGAAGGUGGAAUGCUUGGUGUAGAGGUGAAAUUCGUAGAUAUUCGGAAGAACACCAGUGGCGAAGGCGGACUCACUGGACACAUAUUGAACGCUGAGGUGCGAAAGCGUGGGGAGCAAACAGG